CAGGCACCUAAGCUGUUUGUUAUAGCAGCACUUUAAACAGGAGGUGCUAGCAGCAAGCAAUCUCAUCGCCUUUGGGGACUAGGGCUGUGCCCCUCAAAGUGAACUGGGAGGCUCUCCAUCC